rnacentral:misc_RNA from 1 species
AACGCACGAGACCUGCGGACCUGCGGAAGGAUCAUUCACAAUAAGUGUUUUAUGGCACUUUAAUUCCAUAUCCACCUUGUGUGCAACGUAGUUCGUUUUUCGAACAAAACAUCAACAUUUUAAUUAUCAACAGAUCGUCUGAAGUAUUAUAUGAAUAAAUCAAUUCAAAAUACAACUUUCAGCAACGGAUCUCU